AUCUCUUCAUGACCCCGGUCGUCCUCAACCUCUCGUCAGACUCAGGCAACGAGCCAGCGCCCGCACCCCACUCGCGCCCGACCCCUCCCCUCCUCUACCUCGCCCCAAAUCCGCUCUGAACGGACCCCCACUCUGCCCUAACUUCUACUCUUCCGUUACCCGCACUAAACCGCGCCCUAAUGGCCAUUAGAACACCGGAAACAGCCGCCAUGAAGACGCCAUAAUUCCGACGACGCACUGCAACGUUCCGACCUCCCCUGCAUCCUAUAAAAGGCCCCCUCCCCUCACAACUCUCUCCUUGCCCGAACCCCUCUCCUUCGGGAGCUUAUACCCCUACCCAUCGUCGUGAAUUGCUCACCGGAGUUGCGUGACGCUGGUGCUGUUCGUGGAAGGUUCCGGCGAGUCCGAGCCGGAGUAUGCAUCUGGUCAGAGCUCCGCCCAACUCCGGCGACGCAUCACGGUCACCAGAGGACGGUGCCAAGCGCGUUUUGGUGUUCAGCAAGUUUUCCUCGACUUCCUCUACUCCUUCCACCUCUCUUUCGUUGCCGAAGACAUCCGCAUCAUCGAGCGAGAGCACGCCAAGUUUGUUGUCCAUCGCCGGCCAACUCCUCCGAUGAUGAGUGACGAGAUAGGGCUACGGAGCUACACUCAACUAGCCUUGUGGCGACUGAUGGGCUCAGGAUUAUUAUUAUGUUAUUUGCUUCCGCUAUGUACCUUCAGCUGAGUGAGUUGUAAUAAAUUGAACUUUGGAUCUUCGAUGUAAUAAAAUGACGUUUGUACUUGA